GCUUAAGUGCUGAAAUUUGGGGUUAUUGAUGCAAUUUUUAUGCUUUUGUGUUCAGAUCCUUGGAGGAAGUUGAGUAUGGACCAGAGGGUGAUAUUCCAUCUUGGUUUACUGGUUUUGGAACUUUGCUACACCUGAUUUGGGAUUUGAAAGGUGAAGUUAACAUUGUAUUUGAGGAAAAGUGAUGGUUAAGUGCUGAAUUUCGUAAGUUUGAUGGAAUUAUAGUAUUCUCGAUGUGUAGAGCCUUGGAGAAGUAUUGUUGCUGUUUCAGCGUGAUCUCGGCUG
rnacentral:lncRNA from 1 species